GCGGGUAUAGUUUAGUGGUAAAACCCCUAGCCUUCCAGCUACGAUGCGGGGUCGAUUC
rnacentral:tRNA from 1 species